AUUGAACGCUGGCGGCAUGCUUUACACAUGCAAGUCGAACGGCAGCGCGGGCUUCGGCCUGGCGGCGAGUGGCGAACGGGUGAGUAAUGCAUCGGAACGUGCCCAGUAGUGGGGGAUAGCCCGGCGAAAGCCGGAUUAAUACCGCAUACGACCUGAGGGUGAAAGCGGGGGACCGAAAGGCCUCGCGCUAUUGGAGCGGCCGAGGUCGGGUUAGCUAGUUGGUGGGGUAAAGGGUUACCAAGGCGACGAUCCGUAGCUGGUCUGAGAGGACGACCCGCCACACUGGGACUGAGACACGGCCCAGACUCCUACGGGAGGCAGCAGUGGGGAAUUUUGGACAAUGGGGGCAACCCUGAUCCAGCCAUGCCGCGUGCGGGAAGAAGGCCUUCGGGUUGUAAACCGCUUUUGUUCGGGAAGAAAUCCUCUGGGCUAAUACCCCGGGGGGAUGACGGUACCGGAAGAAUAAGCACCGGCUAACUACGUG
rnacentral:rRNA from 1 species